rnacentral:rRNA from 1 species
UACGGAGGGGGCUAGCGUUGUUCGGAAUUACUGGGCGUAAAGCGCACGUAGGCGGCUUUGUAAGUUAGAGGUGAAAGCCCAGGGCUUAACCCUGGAAUUGCCUUUAAGACUGCAUCGCUAGAAUUGUGGAGAGGUGAGUGGAAUUCCGAGUGUAGAGGUGAAAUUCGUAGAUAUUCGGAAGAACACCAGUGGCGAAGGCGACUCACUGGACACAUAUUGACGCUGAGGUGCGAAAGCGUGGGGAGCAUACAGG